rnacentral:snoRNA from 1 species
GAAUCAAUGAUGAGUACUCUUAACUCUAUGCAUUCUUUGGAAAACCUCAACAAAAUGAGUGAGAACUCACACCACCGCUAUUCUCAUCAUAUCUGAGGUCU